CUGACGAGUGGCGGACGGGUGAGUAAUGCUUAGGAAUCUGCCCAGUAGUGGGGGACAACACGGGGAAACUCGUGCUAAUACCGCAUACGCCCUAAGGGGGAAAGCGGGGGAUCUUCGGACCUCGCGCUAUUGGAUGAGCCUAAGUCGGAUUAGCUUGUUGGUGGGGUAAAGGCCUACCAAGGCGACGAUCCGUAGCUGGUCUGAGAGGACGAUCAGCCACACUGGGACUGAGACACGGCCCAG
rnacentral:rRNA from 1 species